AGAACGGCUCCGCCCGGACUCCUACGGGAGCCGGGCUCCUCCAUCAACAGUAGGAUGGCUCCGCCCGGACUCCUACGGGAGCCGGGCUCCUCCAUCAACAGCAGAACGGCUCCGCCCGGACUCCUACGGGAGUCGGGCUCUUCCAUCAACAGUAGGAUGGCUCCGCCCGGACUCUUACGGGAGCCGGGCUCCUCCAUCAACAGCAGAACGGCUCCGCCCGGACUCCUACGAGAGCCGGGCUCCACCAUCGACAGUAGUUGUAGCUUCGUCCGGGCUCCGCUCUCGAUACCAAUUGCUGGAGGAGCUGAACCUUAAGGGAGCUGAGCCUUAAGGGAGCCGAGCCUCAUUUCUGACGCCAACGACUACAGCCGUAGGCAGACUCCUCCCGGACUCCUACAAAGGCCGAGCUCCGACCACUGCCGAGCCUUGAUCAAC
rnacentral:lncRNA from 1 species